CUUUACGGGAGGGAGAGCGGCGUGGGGUGAGGUUUGUGUGUAUUGUGCUGCUGUGUCGCGUGGAAGUCGCGUGCGUGUCGAGUGUGUGAGUGGAUGCAGGAGUGUGAGUGGGUGUGCGUGAGGAGUGCGUGCACCCGCUUCUGCGCCCCUCUCCCCGCCUACACCUUGAUCUUAUUUGAUCGGGUCGUGACCCCAGCCCCGCCAGGCCAACCCGAAAUGAAAAGAUCCCCUCCUGCGAAGCCCCCCGGGGCGCUGUGCAGCGAGGCCCUUGGGCGGUGGCAGCGCUGUGGUCUCCGAGGUCCCGGAGCCGGUCCGACGGGGCCCGGCGCUCAGAAAUGAUGAACUGAUCAGAUAGACGAGGCCGGGCUUGUCCCGGGCCGCUGAUUAUCCAGGCGAUUCUGAUCUGA